GAAAGUAAUAAAGGGCGUAUGGGGGAUGCCUAGGCUCUUGGAGGCGAAGAAAGACGUGGUAAGCUGCGAUAAGCCUCGGGGAUUUGCAAACGAGAAUUGAUCCGAGGAUUUCUGAAUGGGACAACCCGGCAGGCAGAAGGCCUGUCACACGAAAGUGGGCCAACCCUCUGAACUGAAACAUCUUAGUAGGAGGAGGAAAAGAAAGAAACAUCGAUUUCCUAAGUAGCGGCGAGCGAACGGGAAACAGCCUAAACCACAAUUGUUACGGCAACUGUGGGGUUGUAGGACUGCAAUAUUCAAAUGACUGUGAACUGGAAUGUUCUGGAAAGUUCAUCCAAAGAGAGUGAAAGACUCGUACAGGCAAGCAAGUCAGGCGAUAGCAGUAUCCUGAGUAGGGCGGGACACGAGGAAUCCUGUCUGAAUCCGCCGGGACCACCCGGUAAGGCUAAAUACUCCCAAGAGACCGAUAGUGAACCAGUACCGUGAGGGAAAGGUGAAAAGAACCCCGAACAGGGGAGUGAAAUAGAACCUGAAACCAUACGCUUACAACCGGUCGGAGCAGCUUCGUGCUGUGACGGCGUGCCUAUUGAAUAAUGAGCCUACGAGUUACUAAUCACUAGCGAGGUUAAGUGCAAGGAUGCACGGAGCCGAAGCGAAAGCGAGUCUGAACAGGGCGUUUAGUUAGUGGUUGUAGACGCGAAACCUUGCGAUCUACCCUUGAGCAGGUUGAAGGUUGGGUAAAACCAACUGGAGGACCGAACGAAUAAGCGUUGAAAAGCUUCUCGAUGACUUGAGGGUAGGGGUGAAAGGCUAAUCAAGCUGGGAAAUAGCUCGUACUCCCCGAAAUGCCUUUUGGGGCAGCGUUGUAAUAAAGAGUCUACUGGAGGUAGAGCUACUGAUUGGAUGCGGGGGCUUCACCGCCUACCAAAUCCUGACAAACUCCGAAUGCCAGUAGUAUGAUUUACAGCAGUGAGUGACUGGGUGCUAAUGUCCAGUCGCAAAAGAGGAACAACUCAGACCAGCAACUAAGGUCCCGAAGAAUAUGCUAAGUUGAUCUAACGAUGUUUUGUUGCAGAGACAGCUAGGAUGUUAGCUUGGAAGCAGCUAUUCAUUCAAAGAGUGCGUAACAGCUCACUAGUCGAGCGACAGAGCGUGGAUAAUAAACGGGCAUCAAGCAUAUCACCGAAGUUCUGGGCGCGAGAGCGCGGUAGGGGAGCAUUCCAUUCAGCGUCGAAGCAGUUUCGUGAGGAAUUGUGGAGCGUAUGGAAAAGCAAAUGUAGGCAUGAGUAACGAUAAUGCGGGAGAGUAACCCGCACACCGCAAGACCAAGGUUUCCUGAUCAACGCUAAUCGGAUCAGGGUUAGUCGGGUCCUAAGGGUAAGCCGAACGGCGAUCUCGAUGGAUAAUCGGUUAAUAUUCCGAUACUAACAUAUACCUCGAUGGAGAGACGAAGGAACGUAAGUGCCGCCACCUGACGGAAUAGGUGGUUAAAGGGCGUAGGUAUAGGGGCAGAUUAAGAGUUAGUCCUUGCUGAAACCUGACAGUACAGAGAGCCUACGGGCAAUUUGAUAGAGCACCCAAGUCGACUUCCGAGAAAAUCUUCUAAGUUAUAGUAUAUGUUACCCGUACCGUAAACCGACACAGGUGGUCGAGGAGAGUAUCCUAAGGUGCUCGAGUGAAUCACGGUUAAGGAACUAGGCAAAUUAACCCCGUAACUUCGGGAAAAGGGGUCCCUAUGAAAGUAGGGCGCAGCGAAGAGGUCCAGGCGACUGUUUAUCAAAAACACAGGGCUCUGCAAAUUCGAAAGAAGACGUAUAGGGCCUGACACCUGCCCGGUGCUGGAAGGUUAAGAGGGGAUGUCAUCGCAAGAGAAGCAUUGAAUCGAAGCCCCAGUAAACGGCGGCCGUAACUAUAACGGUCCUAAGGUAGCGAAAUUCCUUGUCGGGUAAGUUCCGACCUG
rnacentral:rRNA from 1 species